rnacentral:rRNA from 1 species
GAUGAACGCUAGCCACAGGCUUAACACAUGCAAGUCGAGGGGUAACGAGAGGGAAGCUUGCUUUCCUUGUCGACGACCGGCGCACGGGUGAGUAACGCGUAUCCAACCUGCCCCCAACUAAGGAAUAACCUUGCGAAAGUAAGACUAAUACCUUAUAAUUUCCUCAGAUGACAUCUGACGAGGAAUAAAGAUUUAUCGGUUGUGGAUGGGGAUGCGUCUGAUUAGCUUGUUGGCGGGGUAACGGCCCACCAAGGCAACGAUCAGUAGGGGUUCUGAGAGGAAGGUCCCCCACAUUGGAACUGAGACACGGUCCAAACUCCUACGGGAGGCAGCAGUGAGGAAUAUUGGUCAAUGGGCGGAAGCCUGAACCAGCCAAGUAGCGUGCAGGAUGACGGCCCUAUGGGUUGUAAACUGCUUUUAUACAGGAAUAAAGUUAGCCACGUGUGGUUAUUUGUAGGUACUGUAUGAAUAAGGACCGGCUAAUUCCGUGCCAGCAGCCGCGGUAA